UACGGGGGGGGCAAGCGUUGUUCGGAAUUACUGGGCGUAAAGGGCUCGUAGGUGGCCAACUAAGUCAGACGUGAAAUCCCUCAGCUUAACUGGGGAACUGCGUCUGAUACUGGAUGGCUUGAGUUUGGGAGAGGGAUGCGGAAUUCCAGGUGUAGCGGUGAAAUGCGCAGAUAUCGGGAGGAACACCAAUGGCGAAGGCAGCUCGCUGGGACGGUACUGACGCUGAGGCGCGAAAGCGUGGGGAGCAAACAGG
rnacentral:rRNA from 1 species